GGCACUGCUUCCAGAGUAGAACUUGUCAAAGCACUGACAAAGGGCAGCAAGGCCAGUGUGAGCCUUGGAGGGGGCUGGGGACCAGGGCACACGAGGUGCCAGCACAUCCUGGGAGUGCUGGCUCUGCCCUGGCUGUGGGACAGCAGUUCAGGAGGAACAUUCUCACCUGGCCUCUGAGAUGGGAUGGACCAAACUCUUCUUUACUCUUUUCUUGAAAAAACUCCUCAUCCUGUUCAUCAGGAACCUCUCUCUAUUUCCAUCCUUUUACACGGAACCAUCGUCCUUAAACACUUCAGGACUGACAGUACCACCUCCCCUGGUCUUCCAGGGAAAUAUCACAUGGAGAUAAUCCAGGUUGCCCAGGAGCAACUGAGCCUGCAGCUGAGAAGCUUUUUCCACUUUUCACAGAAAGCCUUCACUCCCUUCAGCUUCCUCAUGAGGCAAAGUGCAGCAGACACCCACCACAUCUCUCUGCUUUGUCCUGCACUUUGGUUAUGACCUGUGACCUGGGAAUCAUGGGUUUGAUAUCCAUGCAUCUUCCAGGUGAAAUGGGCCUUGAUCCCCAGGAAGUGCUGGGCUGUGGAGUUUUUUGCUUAUUUUUUUGUUAAGGUUAUGAUUAAAUGCAUGAGAUG